GUGACUACAGCCAGAUAUAUAGUUUAAAUAGUCCUUCGGGUGCAUAUACAAUCCACUGAGAUUUUAGAAUUCUGCUAUCUAUCAGCUUUGAUGGAUCAAGUAUGAGCAUUUGUCAUGGGUUCUAUUUGGUUGAGUUAAGAAAGUGGUUGUGGUUUCAAGGCCCAUUGGAAAGCCCUAGACUCAUGUUUCAAACUCUAAAGGUACCUAAUUCCCCACCACUAGAAUCCCAAAUAAAUUUAUUUUAUUAAAAUAAGAAGAAAUUUUUAAAUUUUUUUUUUAAAAAAAUUAUACUUGAUUUGAAGCCUACAUAGGUCUAG
rnacentral:lncRNA from 1 species